rnacentral:rRNA from 1 species
UGGGGAAUUUUCCGCAAUGGGCGAAAGCCUGACGGAGCAAUACCGCGUGCGGGAGGAAGGCCUUUGGGUCGUAAACCGCUUUUAACAGGGAAGAAGAUCUGACGGUACCUGUUGAAUAAGCCUCGGCUAACUCCGUGCCAGCAGCCGCGGUAAGACGGAGGAGGCAAGCGUUAUCCGGAAUUAUUGGGCGUAAAGCGUCCGCAGGUGGCCUUUCAAGUCUGCUGUUAAAGCCCAGGGCUCAACUCUGGAUCAGCAGUGGAAACUGAAAGGCUAGAGUACGGUAGGGGUAGAGGGAAUUCCCAGUGUAGCGGUGAAAUGCGUAGAUAUUGGGAAGAACACCGGUGGCGAAGGCGGCGACCUGGUCCGGUACUGACGCUGAGGCGCGAAAGCGUGGGGAGCAAACAGGAUUAGAUACCCCCGUAGUCC